rnacentral:rRNA from 1 species
UACAGAGGUCCCAAGCGUUGUUCGGAUUCACUGGGCGUAAAGGGUGCGUAGGUGGCGAGGUAAGUCGGAUGUGAAAGCUCGGAGCUCAACUCCGAAAUGGCAUUGGAAACUACCUUGCUCGAGAGUCGGAGGGGGGACUGGAAUACUUGGUGUAGCAGUGAAAUGCGUAGAUAUCAAGUGGAACACCAGUGGCGAAGGCGAGUCCCUGGACGACUCCUGACACUGAGGCACGAAAGCUAGGGGAGCAAACAGG